rnacentral:rRNA from 1 species
AUUGAACGCUGGCGGCAGGCUUAACACAUGCAAGUCGAGCGGAGAGAGGUAGCUUGCUACUGAUCUUAGCGGCGGACGGGUGAGUAAUGCUUAGGAAUCUGCCUAUUAGUGGGGGACAACAUUUCGAAAGGAAUGCUAAUACCGCAUACGUCCUGCGGGAGAAAGCAGGGGAUCUUCGGACCUUGCGCUAAUAGAUGAGCCUAAGUCGGAUUAGCUAGUUGGUGGGGUAAAGGCCUACCAAGGCGACGAUCUGUAGCGGGUCUGAGAGGAUGAUCCGCCACACUGGGACUGAGACACGGCCCAGACUCCUACGGGAGGCAGCAGUGGGGAAUAUUGGACAAUGGGCGCAAGCCUGAUCCAGCCAUGCCGCGUGUGUGAAGAAGGCCUUAUGGUUGUAAAGCACUUUAAGCGAGGAGGAGGCUACUUUAGUUAAUACCUAGAGAUAGUGGACGUUACUCGCAGAAUAAGCACCGGCUAACUCUGUGCCAGCAGCCGCCGUAA